GCGGCUCCGCUCGGCUCCUGUGCGGCUGCCGCGGGGCCGGGGCCGGCAGCGAUGUUGGCCGGGCCGGGGCCGGGGCUGCUGGCCUUGGCCUUGGCCUUGUGGCCGGCAGGUGGCCUUUCUCAGGUGAAGAUCGAGGCCUCAGGCCCUACAGUAGGGAAGAUCUCAGAGUCUGUCUGGCUUACCUGCCACAUCUCUGGUGUAGCCAUCACUGAUAGCAACUACGCGUGGGACUGGAUCCGGCAGACUCCUGGCAAAGAGCUGCAGCACCUGGUGAUGCAGUAUCCUUUCACAGGACUCCAGCACAUCGCUUCAUCCUUCCAGACCCAAGUCAACAGCUCUGCAGACCCCUCCAGGAACCAGCUGUGGCUGGAACUGCUCUCACCAGCAGCUGCAGACACAGCCACCUAUUUCUGCAGCAUGAGAGAACUUGAAAAGGGCACAGUGCUUGAAAUGCAGGCAGGGCCAGGGCAGAAUUGGAAAGAGGGACUUUAAUCUAGCCAGAUCUUUUGUGGUUGCUGCAAGGCAAGGCUCUUCCCAGACUUCUCAAGACUAGUCUGGGCUGUCUUUUGCUGAAACAGAUGCAGAGGUGCUACAGCAAUAACAGCAGUCUCCCACAAGCAAACCCCAAACCAUUAACGUGUUAACUCCUUCCUUCCUUCUCAAUAUCUCCCACAGGCAGAAAGAACAAGGGAAAGAGGGUGGGGGUUUUAUGUUUUGUGCUUUGUUUGGGUUUUUUAAGAAUGUGAUUGGUUUUCUUUGAGUAGGGUUAAUUUUCCUCAUAGCAGGAAUGAGACCAUGUUUUGAAUCUGUGCUGGAAAGAGUGUUGGUAAUUCAGGGAUGUUUGAGUUAUUGCUGAGCAGUGCUUACAUGGAGUCAAGGCCUCUUCUGCUCCUCAUUCCACCCACCAGAGAGUAGCUUAGGGUGCACAAAAUUUGAGAGGGGACACAGCUGGUUCAGCUCUGGCUGUCAAGGAUUUGUGAUGCAGAAGUUGAAUAUCAUGAAGGAUUUGAUCAAUGUACAAUAUCUCCUUUACUCUUUGACCCUCGCUCCCAAGGUUUCAGUGCCUCUACACAACAAAGAAUAAUCAGUUUGUCUACUUUUUCCUCUUACCUAAAAUGCCAUGAAGACUUUCUAAGGUACUAAAUGACCCCAGGAACCAAUUCUAAGAGACCAGAGGGCACAUUCCUCCUGCUUCUGAGCACUGAAACAAAGGGGGAAAAGGGGACAGCGUUCAGCAAGUCAGAAGAAUUUUCAGAAAUGCUUUGAUAUAACAUGAAAAGUACUGAUUCUUUUCCUGCUUUCUAUCCACCUUAACCCCAUCAGACAUUUCAGAGGUGUAAUCCCCAAGUUCUCAUUUACAACUCAGCCUCUCUGAUAUUAUCUUAGAUCCUUCCUUGAGAGCCAUAUGGUGUUUCUUCAUGUGGUGCACUGGGUCUUAAACCACUGAAGAUGUCAUGUGACGGCCUGUAUAUUCCUAAGUUCUGUGUAGUGGAACAGAGACAGUUUUUACAAGGAAACAGAUCACUGUGUACAGGGGCCGGAGUACCACAAUGAUAUAAACAGCAUAGGGACCUGUACAAAAACAAAA